rnacentral:rRNA from 1 species
GACGAACCGUGCCAACGUUGUUCGGAAUCACUGGGCUUAAAGGGCGCGUAGGCGGGCGGUCAAGUCUGUGGUGAAAUCCUCCGGCUCAACCGGAGAAUAGCUGGAGAUACUGAUCGUCUCGAGGGGGGUAGGGGCAUGUGGAACUUCCGGUGGAGCGGUGAAAUGCGUAGAUAUCGUCUGGAACGCCGAAGGUGAAAACAGCUCGCUGGGGCUGCGCUGACGCUGAGACACGAAAGCCAGGGGAGCGAACGGG